rnacentral:rRNA from 1 species
UGAGGAAUAUUGGGCAAUGCCCGCAAGGGUGACCCAGCAACGCCGCGUGGAGGAUGAAUGUCGUAAGAUUGUAAACUCCUGUUAGAGGGGAAGAAUAGUACCGGUUGGACCGGUAUAUGACUGUACCCUCAGAGAAAGCCCCGGCUAACUACGUGCCAGCAGCCGCGGUAAUACGUAGGGGGCAAGCGUUGUCCGGAUUUACUGGGUGUAAAGGGCGCGCAGGCGGGAUAAAAAGUCAGUGGUGAAAUCCUACAGCUUAACUGUAGAACUGCCUUUGAUACUUUUAUUCUUGAGUUCGGGAGAGAGAGACGGAAUUCCAGGAGUAGUAGUGAAAUACGUAGAUAUCUGGAAGAACACCAGUUGCGAAGGCGGUCUCUUGGUCCGACACUGACGCUGAGGCGCGAAAGCGUGGGGAGCAAACA